GACAGAGGGGGCAAGCGUUGCUCGGAAUUACUGGGCGUAAAGGGCGCGUAGGCGGGAUGGCAAGUCGGUCGUGAAAUCCCUCGGCUCAACCGAGGAACGUCGAUCGAUACUGCUGUUCUUGAGGAUUGCAGAGGAGACUGGAAUUCCCGGUGUAGCGGUGAAAUGUGCAGAGAUCGGGAGGAACACCGGUGGCGAAGGCGGGUCUCUGGGCAAUUCCUGACGCUGAGGCGCGAAAGCGUGGGGAGCAAACAGG
rnacentral:rRNA from 1 species